rnacentral:rRNA from 1 species
GCCUUACACAUGCAAGUCGAACGGCAGCACGGGAGCAAUCCUGGUGGCGAGUGGCGAACGGGUGAGUAAUAUAUCGGAACGUGCCCAGUCGUGGGGGAUAACGCAGCGAAAGCUGUGCUAAUACCGCAUACGAUCUCUGGAUGAAAGCGGGGGACUCGCAAGAGCCUCGCGCGAUUGGAGCGGCCGAUAUCAGAUUAGCUAGUUGGUGGGGUAAAAGCCCACCAAGGCGACGAUCUGUAGCUGGUCUGAGAGGACGACCAGCCACACUGGAACUGAGACACGGUCCAGACUCCUACGGGAGGCAGCAGUGGGGAAUUUUGGACAAUGGGCGCAAGCCUGAUCCAGCAAUGCCGCGUGCAGGAUGAAGGCCUUCGGGUUGUAAACUGCUUUUGUACGGAACGAAACGGUCUGCCUUAAUACGGUGGGCUAAUGACGGUACCGUAAGAAUAAGCACCGGCUAACUACGUGCCAGCAGCCGCGGUAAUACGUAGGGUGCGAGCGUUAAUCGGAAUUACUGGGCGUAAAGCGUGCGCAGGCGGUUAUAUAAGACAGAUGUGAAAUCCCCGGGCUCAACCUGGGACCUGCAUUUGUGACUGUAUAGCUAGAGUACGGUAGAGGGGGAUGGAAUUCCGCGUGUAGCAGUGAAAUGCGUAGAUAUGCGGAGGAACACCGAUGGCGAAGGCAAUCCCCUGGACCUGUACUGACGCUCAUGCACGAAAGCG